UGGGGCUAGGGUAAGGUUUUAGGUUUUUGGCGUUAGGGUUAAAAUCAAUGUCCAAAACCUUUGGAGGAACUCUUUUCCAAGCUUUUGGAGUUAGUUAGACCAAAAAAAAAGAAAAAUGAAAAAAAAAUAUUUGGGGUUUUCGGGCUUCCUGAUGGCAAUACCCGGGAAUCAGUUUCUGGGGCUUUGGAAAGGUUUAAGGUUUUUGGCGUUAGGGUUAAAAUCACUGUCCAAAACCUUUGUAGGAACUCUUUUCCAAGCUUUUGGAGUUAGUUACACCAAAAAAAAAAGAAAAAUGAAAAAAAAAAUAUUUGGGGUGUUCGGGCUUCCUGAAGGUAAUACCCAGGUAUUAGGUUAUGGGGCUAGGGUAAGGUUUUAGGUUUUUGGCGUUAGGGUUAAAAUCAAUGUCCAAAACCUUUGGAGGAACUCUUUUCCAAGCUUUUGGAGUUAGUUAGACCAAAAAAAAGAAAAAUGAAAAAAAUAUUUGGGGUUUUCGGGCUUCCUGAUGGCAAUACCCGGGAAUCAGUUUCUGGGGCUUUGGAAAGGUUUAAGGUUUUUGGCGUUAGGGUUAAAAUCACUGUCCAAAACCUUUGUAGGAACUCUUUUCCAAGCUUUUGGAGUUAGUUACACCAAAAAAAAAUGAAAAAUGAAAAAAAAAAUAUUUGGGGUGUUCGGGCUUCCUGAAGGUAAUACCCAGGUAUUAGGUUAUGGGGCUAGGUUAAGGUUUUAGGUUUUUGGCGUUAGGGUUAAAAUCACUGUCCAAAACCUUUGUAGGAACUCUUUUCCAAGCUUUUGAGUUAGUUAGACCAAAAAAAAAUGAAAAAUGAAAUAAAAAAUAUUUGGAUUGCAAAAAUAUAUCAAGAUCCAAAGAUGGUGUGCGCACUUGUCUGUGGUCAUUUACCAUUAUAAUGAAUGGGAGGCGCAGUUUCUACCAAAACACUUGCUGCAGACAAACUUCAUGACCUAUAUGAAAAAAGUCUGGACCAUGAGUGAGGGCACAAACACAGCUAGUAUAUAUCCAAAUGGCAAGUUGCUCCUCCUUUCGGUUUUGCAGAGAGAGCGGUGUGUUUGAGCCAUUGAGCGAUGGGCAGGAAAAACUUGACUUUUUCUCCUGCCUUGGGGGGGUGCUCUUUUGGUGAGAAAAAAAUGACUUCACAAAUGUUUUGAUGGCUGAACAUUGCAUCAUCCUAGAAAACUUGGAUGAGUGGCCAAAACUUCUUUGUCUGCUGUAAAAUCAAAUUGGAUUAAUAUUUUUUCCAGAUUUUUUUUUGUACAUCUCUUAUUUUACUUCUGCCCUGUUCAAAACUAGCAAAUGUUUCAUUGAAGAUAUUUUUUUUAACCCUUUAAGAGCCUUUUAAAUUUUUCUGUAGUAUCAGAUUUAAUAGACAACUCCUUUGGCGCCACUCAGUGGCCAUAACUACUUUGUCUGCUGUUAAUAGACAACUCCCUUUGGCGCCACUAAGUGGCCAAAACAAUUUGUAAUCAUGUGGAUUUUUGGGUUAUCUUUGGCGCCCCCUAGAACGUAAACCGUGGGGUUCAGCGUCAUGAUUUGUACAACUUUGAAUGGUCAGUUAGACCAAAAAAAAAGAAAAAUGAAAAAAAAAUAUUUGGGGUUUUCAGGCCUCCUGGAGGUAAUACCCGGGUAUUAGGUUAUGGGGCUAUGGUAAGGUUUAAGGUUUUUGGCGAUAGGGUUAAACUAACUGUCCAAAACCUUUUUAGGAACAUGUUUCAUGCCUUUUGGAGUUGGUUACACCAAAAAAAAAUGUAAAAUGAAAAAAAAAUAUUUGGGGUGUUCGGGCUUCCUGAAGGUAAUACCCGGGUAUUAGGUUUUGGGGCUAUGGUAAGGGUUCAGUUUUUUGGCAUUAGGGUUAAAAUUAUUGUCCAAAACCUUUGUAGGAACUCUUUUCCAACCUUUUGGAGUUAGUUAGACCAAAAAAAAAAGAAAAAUGAAAAAAAAAUAUUUGGGGUUUUCGGGCUUCCUGAAG